UACGUAGGGGGCAAGCGUUGUCCGGAUUUAUUGGGCGUAAAGAGCUUGUAGGCGGUUUGUCGCGUCUGCCGUGAAAAUUCGAGGCUCAACCUCGAACUUGCGGUGGGUACGGGCAGACUAGAGUGUGGUAGGGGAGACUGGAAUUCCUGGUGUAGCGGUGAAAUGCGCAGAUAUCAGGAGGAACACCGAUGGCGAAGGCAGGUCUCUGGGCAGUAACUGACGCUGAGGAGCGAAAGCGUGGGGAGCGAACAGG
rnacentral:rRNA from 1 species